AUGAGAACGUGGGGGUGAAAGCCUAUCCGCCAAUCCCGCAGGCUCCUCGAGCCCCGCGUCUAUCCUCCUCCCCCGCACUCCCCUCGUUCCCCCGUACAACCGCCGCUCUCCCCUGCCUCUCCGUCUCGCUAGAAACACCGCUGCUGGAUCCCUUCCCAGUCGACGGUGGAGCCCCCAUCCUAGCCCCGCACCGGAGUUCGGCGACCAAGGAGGUGUGGAUCGAUGAUGUUGCAGCAAAGAAGAGGAUGGGAUAUCGAGGAGGGAGCGGGCCGUUCCAGAGGAGAUGGGAACGGGGGUGGGCGGUGGUGAGGCAUCGGCACCAGAGACGCAGAUCCGCGGCGGUGCGGGGUUGGUGACGAGGACGACCUGUGACUCCUCAUGGCAAAGGUCUUGCUCGCCGUUGGUUGUAACAUCAUCGUCUCCGAGGCAGGUUUGUCUGAGAGGUACGCACCGGUGAAUCAAUAUGUUUGCCCGUCCAUGCAUCUUUGGUACUAUCUGCUUGAUAAUGUUUCUUUAGAGGAAACCAUUUCUUCUAGGCCAGGGGUGUUUCUUUGGGCUAUAACCAAUGCGAUGUCUCCAUCUACUAGGUAGUUAUUUUCUUCCAAUGGCUACAUGUACUUAUAUAGUUUGUUAACUUCUUCUCGGCUUCUUUUAUAUGCGUGUGUAUGGACAAAUUAAUGGGUCUUUGUGUUGGUUGUUCCUUCCUCGCCGAUAUGGCAACAAUUUUAGAUGUUGUCCAGUUAAGGUUCAUUGUAAAUAAUAGUGGAUGUUGGGCUGCCUCCACACCGCAAGACAUGGAGAUGGCUGACGCCGGAACCGGUUGUUGAGGUCGAGUACGCCCCUUUGUCGUCGCCGUCUAUAUCCGUUAUAGUGCUGCUGCGGUUUGGCUUUUCCUUGGUGUUCAUAAUCUCAGGAUGACACUUGAUUUCAGUGUAAGGAGCUUGCCGGCACCGGAUUCAGCAGGGUGGAGAUCUAUGAGGCCUUUCUUUCUUGUGGGAUUCCCACACAUCUUGCAAGUUCAAGGGGGCGAGCUCAGCUGAAUGCGUGUCGACGUAGUGUACCUUUGCAAGCCGAGUAUCUUGCUCUAAUUUGUUGACAGGGUAAUAGGUACAGUCAACAAUCCAUAGUCAAUAAAAGAGAUUAUGUGCUGCAGGUAGCCAAGAAGGUUUAUGAAUGUCUCAGUAUUUUGUCGGAACAAGCCUCAGAGUUAAUAACAUACUUCAGAAGUCAGAAAAGAUUGGUUUCAUGCAGAUGCCAUUAUAACAUUUGUUUAUUUCCAGGGUAGUUUUUCUAUUUAUAGAUGUAUCAUGUAGGUAGAGUAAAACAUCCUCUUGGUCUCUUUUCUGUGGUCUGUGGUUGUAGAUUAAAAUUGGUGCAUUCAUGCGAAAAAGAUCAAAUUGAUCCCUGUAUAUACAAGUGAACUGUAGAGAAAGAUUCCACACGGCGUUGGCUUUAGGGAAGUAACAUGCGAAUAAAGAAGAGAGAUUAUAGAGUGAGAUGAUGUUGUUUCUCGCUAUAUUCUCAACUGAACUGAGUAUCAUACAAAGAUAUCAUAUUUCCAAUCAUGCCUCUGGGAAUAAUAGCAUUCAGGUAGUCAUGCUGAGUUUUCUAUCAUCCAAAUAAGAGCACACUUGCCUUUUUUUAUGCGUAGCACACUUGCCUUUGUUUUACCAUACAGAUUAAAUGUUGAGAAGUAUAUUGUUCUGAUUGCUUAUUCAAUGUAUUGAUAAUAGUAUGAUGCAUGCCGACUCUUAUUCUCCUAUGCUUUCCUAAGGAGCACUUCUAAGGAUGUAAGGAAAGGCAUUUCUUUCCCAAGCUUAUUGACUGCAUAUCUCCUGGUCCUGGCAUUUGGUAUGUGCAGUUGAGUUAUUUGCUAUCCUAGUCUAUAACAAUGUAAGGCCUAGGAUCCGAACUGGAAAUUAUAGCCUUGGUGGAUUGAUUUUACCUUUGUUCCAAGGAGCUGAACUGGAAAUUAUAUCCUUAGUACAUUGAUUUUACCUUUAUUUGAUUCAUCACAAGUGUUCAUUGUUUAGGAUUUCUGAUUGUAGUGACUGAGAAACAUAUUUGCAAAUUUUGUAUUUGUUCGACAUGAAAGCACCUUUCUUUGUGGUUGGAGAAGGAAUGAAUCCAUCACAGUGCUCCCUAAGAGGGCACAAGCUGUUGUUCUCUGUAAUCCAGCACAUGGGAACCUCAUCAGGAUAUGCCAAGUAGUCUGGACAAACUUUGGUGAGUCUGGUGGGAAGAAUCUCUGUAUAAGGUUAAGAGAUAUUAUAAUACUUUGUCACCUUGUGCCGUUUUUGCAGAAAUGGCAAAUUAAUGAAAAAAGUUCUCAAUACUUGCAUUUUUUCCCGCCUUUUUCCAGCUGCAUGUGUUGCUUGCGGUCUGUAGUGCCACUCUUUCAGCUUUUGCGUUGCCUACAAUUUCUAUGAUUCUAUCUGAUGUUUAGUCUUCAUGUUUAACUAUGCACCAGAAUUCCAUUUGACUACUCCUAAAUUCUCAAGCUACCAUAGAGGUCUAUUGGUCUUGCUAUCUCCAAGGAGAAAUGGUAGAUGCCUAACAGCAUGUGGGUUUAGACAAUGUUUUUAAAAAUUUCAUGUUCCUCGCUGCCGAAAGGGUGUUAGCCGUCACUUAUCAGUUUGCUUGUUUGAGAUAUCUGUUCUUUCUCCAUUGUAGGUAAGGUCAUUUCAAAGGAAUCUUUGCAUGAGAGGGUGGCAAAUUUUAUGUAAUGAUUGCUGUCAAACAGGCCAAGGUAAUUCUUUUCUACAGCUGUGCUAUGGAUAACAAUCCAUUAUUUUACUGAUUAUGCUGUUCUGGAUGCUUCACAUCUCAGAAUUUGUAAUGUAGCUGACAUGAUAGUAUUAUAUUGUUUUACUAUGAAAAACCCUUGAAUGUUAUACAUAAAUGCUCACUUUUCAAUCCUGGCUCAACUAUGACUAUGUAUUGU
rnacentral:rRNA from 1 species